rnacentral:rRNA from 1 species
CUGAAAUUCGCCUUCAUGAAGCCGGAAUUGCUAGUAAUGGCAGGUCAGCAUACUGCCGUGAAUACGUUCCCGGGCCUUGUACACACCGCCCGUCACACCAUGAGAGUUGGGAAUACCCGAAGCCCGUGAGCCAACUUUAAAAGAGGCAGCGGUCGAAGGUAGAAUCAAUGAUUGGGGUGAAGUCGUAACAAGGUACC